ACGGUUUGCGUGCGCGGCCCCUUUAAGACCAUGCACGUACCCUUUAAGCCCGUGCGCGUCAUGAAGAGACUCAGGUGAAUGUGAGGGGAGCUGUGAGGAAGCGCUACGAGCCGUUUCAAGUUCAAGUGUGUGCGUACAUCAAAGAAAGUGAGUUAUUAACAAUAUAAAUAUUAUCCAGAGCAUGUUUAUGUUGCAGUUAUGCGGGAUAUCACCGUUAGGUGAUUUAAACUUGAGUUAUUGAGCUCGUUUAUCGAGUGUUAAUGUAUGCGCGAUCCUCCGUGCAUUUCCCGCUAUAUCGAGUUUAUUGUUUGAUUUAUAUUGCUAUUUUGUUAGGUUUUAACACAUUGAUAGUUGCUGUUUAUAUAAGUAAGUGUAUUUAUAUUGCAUAUGAUUGUAAUAUGAAGAUUUAAGUUGAGCAUUUAGAUAUUUGAUAUAUAUUUUGCAGUUAUUACUUCACGCCCAUAUUGUUAAUGCUACUGUGUGGAUAAUAUAAUUUAUUCCUAACUACAUUUAUAAGUACUGGGCUGUAUUAUUGUAUUUUGUGUAAUUUAUCAUAUCUUAUGUAUAUCUGUUUUGUGUUUUAUUUGUACAGACCACACAUACACAAACCCUCCUUUCUUCAGUAAAGUUUAAUCAGUAUCUGAAUGGUGCUUGACUCAAUUCUUGGACUCUCAUCGGUCCACCAGGAUAAAGUGUACCUAUCCAACAGCCCUUAAGUCAGUUUAAUUUCCAAUCCAAUAACUGGUCCUUCGAGCCGGAUAGGCACUUCCCUGGAUAAAGAUGUCAGCCCAUUCUAAACCAGGAAACCCUGCGGUUCGUCCUAAGCGUCGUCCUGCCUACUUACAAGAUUAUGAGGUAGAUUUUCUGAGUCCAUGUAAAUCAAUGCCAUCAAGUAGUCAGAGAGAGCAAGCAGUGGAGUCAUCUGAUGAUGAUAACUCUUCCUCACAUGUCACAGCAUCAGCCAGAAAACCUAAAAGAGCACAUAGUUCUCCUGUUCCUUUUCCUCCUCUAAGCCUGACUGCCAGAGAUGAGAGUUGUGACUGCCAACACAACCCUCAGCAACGCACUUCUCAGCGAUGCACCCCCAGUCUUUCCCGUCAUGCAUCAUCGCGAAGUCAAAAUCGUCAACCACAAUCUCAGGUUCAUGCAGAGUUCCUUACCUGUGGUGAGAGUGGUGGAUACCAGAGCGAUCGAUCAGAUGCUGGCUCUGUAACCUUGCAGAGGAUCUUAGAGGAGAGUUCUAAUCUCCGUGAAACACAGCAGGCCAUUCAAGGUUAUCUGAAACAGAUCGAGACCGCCAAAGACGAACUGGUUCAGCUUUUAGAGAGAGCAUGUCAUCUCCAGAGGCCUUCAGCUACUCCUAACACCCAGUUUAUCCAUCCAUCUGUUACAUUUCACCAUGAGGUACAGGCGGGUGAUGACGACUGGCCAGAGCCUCCUCCGCCUGUUUCCUGUGAGGAGCCAAGAUUCGUGAAAAUGCGAGAAAUCACAGAUCAGUAUAAUGACAGGCACAAGAGUAUCAGUGACACCAGAGUCCCACCUACACUUACCUCCAAACCCACUUCUGCAGAUAGGUCUAUGGACUUUAAGCAUUCAAGUCAGCGUGAGGAGUGGCUGAGGUAUGGUCAGUUUCCUGCCCCGCAGAUGUAUUCCCAGUAUGCUCAUGAUCAACCAUGGGAUACACCCAAACAUCCUUAUCCUGGGCAUCCCCGAAUGGCAUCCCAUAACUUAUCACCUGCAAUGGCGUCUGUGGAUACGACAGAGAAGUAUUACAAAGGACCAUGCCCCACUAUUCCUUACUUCCGGAACAAAGAUCCGAGUGAGUUCGCUCGUCUGAAGAUGGCCUUGGAUAACCUCUUACCACCUGACAGUACAGAAAUGUUCAAAUAUCAGAUCCUAGUUGACCAUCUGAAGCUAGAGGAUGCUUGUCUAAUAGCUGACUCCUACCUGCAUUCUCCAACACCGUACAGGGACACCAUGAUGGCCCUCAACGAGCGGUUUGGUCAGCCUCACCAGGUAGCAUUGAAGAGAAUCGCCACUAUUCUCGAUUCCCCUGAUAUCAGUCGCAAUGAUCCAUCAGCCUUUGAGAAGUUCUCCCUCCAAGUGCAGUCUUUAGUUGGUCUGCUUAAGACAUUAGGCCAGGAAGGUAACAUUGAGUUGCAGUGUGGGUCGCAUGUUGCACGUCUUCUCAGUAAACUGCCACCUGAAAGACGGGCCGAUUUUCGCCGCCAUAUGUUACACCUGCCUGGAGUGACAUAUUCACUGAUGGAUCUGGCAGACUGGCUCAAAUAUGAAUCCUGGUGUCAAAGUUACGAUGAUCAAACCAUCAGGAAGGAGAGCCGACCCAAAACAGAGUCCCGGGUAGCUCAGCGGUCACGUCGAACCACUGCCACUUUACUGACUGGGUCUGGAAAUAGUUUGGAGGCAAUAAUUACAUAUCCUGCGGCCAAGGAUGAGGAAAGGGCCAAGAGUAAGCUCGCAGUUUAUUGCUUCUACUGUCAAAACUCAGAGCAUGCAUUCAGUCAAUGCCCCAAAAUUCCGACCCUCACCAAAGACCAACUCUCGGAGUGGAUACGCACCAGUCGAAGAUGUUGGCGGUGCGGCCGUGCUCAUCAGGCUGCCCAAUGCGGUUUGAAGAAACCAUGUCCGCUUUGUCAGAGAAAGCAUCUACGAAUUCUUCAUGAGGUUAAUGAGAGGCCGGCCACUGAAGCAUCCAAAACAGAGGCAUGUCUAGUUAGUUCAGCAACGCAGACAUUGUACCUGAACAAACCAACCAGCAGUAAGAAAGUCUUACUCAAAGUUGUCAGAGUGCUGCUGCAUCAUGGAGAUAACACACUGGACACGUUUGCAAUCCUCGAUGAUGGCUCAGAGCGUACGAUGCUCCUAACAGAGGCCGCACAGAAGCUUGGUCUACAAGGGACUCCAGAAAAUUUAGCUCUGAGAACUAUCAGACAUGAUGUGCAGACUAUCAAUGGCGCUGCAGUUUCAUUUCACAUUUCUCCAUACACCAAGCCAAGUAAACGUUAUCUUAUAUCUGGAGCUUUCACUGCCCCUCAGCUUGAUCUAAUAGAUCACUCUUACCCAAUUCCUAAGCUGCAGAAGCAAUACAAUCACCUGGCUGGAUUACCACUGCCGUGCUUUGAAAGAGUGAAGCCUCUCAUCCUAGUUGGUGCAGAUCAAACCCACAUUAUCUCACCUAUCGAACCGGUGAGACUUGGUCCUGCUGGAGGUCCAGCUGCUAUAAGAACCAAACUGGGAUGGACACUUCAGGGACCUACCAGCUUACUGGAACACAGACUCAAGCCAAACCAAUGUCUACACAUUUGCACUUCACCCUGUACUGCUGAGGUACUCAAGCAUGUUGAAAGGCUGUGGCAAGUGGAUGUUCUGCCAUUUCAGAAUGUUAAAGAGUGCACAAGAUCUAAGCACGACAGAGAGGCCAUCGAGCUUCUGGAGUCUAAGACUGUUCGCGUAGAGGUGGAGGGAACAAGACGGUAUGCAACACCUUUGCUGCGUAAGGGUGACAUGCCCUAUCUCCACGCCACGAUGGAAGCCGUCAUGCCACGUUUACGAAGUACUGAAAGGAAAUUGGCAAGAGACUCUCAACAGGCUGAAGCUUAUUCUGCAGAGAUUCAGAAACUGGUACAGUCUGGAGCUAUCAAAAGGCUCAGUCCCAAAGAGAGGGACAAAGAUGGUGAAACUUGGUUUAUUCCCCACCACAUGGUAAGUCAUAAUGGGAAGAACCGUGUGGUGUUUGACUGCUCCUUUAAGUUCAAUGGCAUCAGUCUGAAUGAAUCACUCCUUGCUGGUCCCACCUUGGGUUCAUCACUCCUUGGGGUCUUACUCAGGUUCCGUGAGCAUGCAGUGGCCAUAAGCGCAGACAUCAAGGGCAUGUUUCAUCAGGUCCGCCUUCUUCCAGAAGAUAGACCUCUUCUUCGGUUUAUCUGGCGUGACUCAAAGGAAGGUGGUGCCCCUGAUGUCUUUGAGUGGCAAGUUCUUCCCUUCGGGACGACGUGUAGCCCCUGCUGUGCUACUUUUGCCUUACAGCGUCACGUGAAAGAACACAGCCAACCCGACGAAGACGUGAGGUUUUCAGUAGAACAAUGUUUCUACGUGGACAACUGCUUACAGAGUCUGCCAUCAAAAGAGGAGGCUAAGCAAUUGGUGGACAAGUUGAGGGGGCUGUUAGCUGAAGGGGGCUUUGAAUUGAGACAGUGGGCCAGCAACGUACCUGCUGUCGUGCAACAUCUUCCAUGUGAAGCCAGGUCAGAUGGUCUUGAACUUUGGUUGGCUCAUGAAAAGACAGAGGUCCAGGAGUCUACUUUGGGACUUAGCUGGAACUGCCCUUCAGAUGUACUGACAUACCGCCACCGUCCCAUAGUUCAUGGUGCUCCUACCAUGCGGAUUAUUUACAAAGUUUUAGCCAGUCAGUACGACCCCCUGGGGUAUAUCCUUCCGUACACCACCCGGGGAAAGGUGUUGGUGCAAAGGCUUUGGAGUAAACAGCAUGGCUGGGAUGAUACUCAACUUCCACAAGCCUUAGUCCAAAGUUGGAACGAAUGGGAAAGUGAGCUGCCGUUUCUUCCCAAGAUCAGUUUCUCAAGAGCGUACUUACCAGCAUCAGUAGACCAAGUCAGAGCUGUUACAGAUCUUCACAUAUUCAGCGAUGCGUCAGAAAGCGCAUAUGGAGCAGUCGCUUACCUGCGUACUGAAGAUCAGCUUGGUAAGAUCCACAUCUCGUUCGUCCUGGCGCGCUCUAGAGUAGCACCAAGAAGAGUCCUGUCAGUGCCACGUCUAGAGCUCUGUGCUGCUGUAACUGGUGCACAGUUGGCAAACCUCUUAAGAAAGGAGUUAACGUUGCCCAUUCGCCACACAAUCCUUUGGACAGACUCCACUACUGUGCUGUCAUGGAUACACUCAGAGUCUUGCCAUUUCAAAGUUUUCGUCGGGACCAGGGUGGCUGAAAUCCACGAGCUAACCAACCUCACUGCCUGGCGAUAUGUGGAUUCGGUUCAAAAUCCAGCCGACGAUCUUACACGUGGAAAGACCCUGAGUGAUCUCUCGAGGCCCAACAGGUGGUGUCAAGGACCCCCAUUUCUGCUCCAUCCACCAGAAAACUGGCCGUCAAACCCGACAGAGCGCACUGCAAUUGACAAGUCGGAGCUAAAGAAAUCUUCAUUCUGUGGAGUAACAAAUACAAAGGAACUAAUUGGCAGUGAGCACAGAACAUGGACAGAACUCAUGGAAACAACUGCACGGGAGCUACAUGGGGCGGCGGGAGAACCAGGGGAACCUACAGCAGGUACUUACCAAGCAGCGGAGACUUACAUCCUCCAGAAGAUACAGGAUGAGAGUUUCCAAGAGGAAUUACAACGACUGAAGUCUGGCAAGGAUCUUCAACGUAGCAGUCGCCUACUCACCUUAGCUCCCGAAUAUGAUGAGGCUUCGAAUCUACUCAGAGUUGGUGGUAGGCUGAGGCGUGCGGAAACGUUAGAUCCUGCUGUGAAACAUCCUGUAGUUCUGGAUGCCAAACAUCCCGCUGUGAAGCUACUUCUCCAGGACUAUGAUAAGAAUCUCUGCCACCCAGGCCCUGAUAGAGUGUUUGCAGAAGUAAGACGGCAAUUCUGGGUUCUAAGAGGAAGAGAGGCAAUUCGUAACCUGCAGCAUGCUUGUACAGAAUGCCAGCGUUUGAGAGCCAAACCAUCUGUUCCCAAAAUGGCAGACCUUCCCUUAGCACGGCUGCGUCUUUACAAACCUGCGUUCUACUCCACUGGAGUUGAUUGCUUUGGUCCCUUCCUUAUAAAGAUUGGACGGCGAGUGGAGAAGAGGUGGGGAAUCCUUUAUAAGUGUCUUACCACACGAGCCGUACACAUAGAUCUUCUGCACAGUUUGGACACGGAUUCAUUUCUAAUGUCACUUCGGAGGUUUAUUGCACGCAGAGGCUCACCUGUGGAAUUACUGUCUGACCAAGGGACGAAUUUCCGAGGAGGAGAACGGGAGCUCCGGGAGGCUUUCCAGUCCAUGUCACAUGAUCUUCAGCAAAGACUCGCUCCACAGAAGAUAGCAUUUCAUUUCAAUCCUCCUGCAGCACCACACUUUGGGGGAGUGUGGGAGAGGGAGAUAAGAUCCAUAAAGAUGGCAUUAUCUGCAACUAUUGGGGCCCAAUCUGUAUCAGAGGAAGUACUCAGGACUGUGUUAAUUGAGGUGGAGAACAUCCUUAAUUCAAAACCUCUUGGGUAUGUGUCUUCCAAUGUGGCCGAUCUUGACCCAGUAACCCCCAACCUUCUUCUCACGGGGCGGCUCGAUAGCUCCUUGCCUGCAGUUAUCUACCCUAAGGAGGAAGGCCUGAGUCAUCGACGAUGGAAGCACUCCCAGGUGCUUGCUGACCAUUUCUGGUCCUCCUUUAUCCGCCAUUACCUUCCAAAUCUCCAGGUCAGACAUAAAUGGCAUCACACAGGCUCUGAUAUAACCCAAGGCACUGUAGUCAUGAUAAUGGAUCCCCAGCAGCCAAGGGCACACUGGCCGGUUGGAAUGGUAGUCCAGGUGCACCCUAGUCAAGAUUCAAAGGUGAGAUCAGUGGACGUCCAGGUCGAAGGCAAAGUUUAUACGAGACCUGUGGCUCGACUAGUGGUUCUACCUCCAAUUCCGGAAGAGGAAAAGGAGGAGCUUCAAACACCCACUGUAGCAUCAUUAACGCACACGCGGCCCUCUCAUAAUUCAAAUUGAGUAUGCAAUUUGGGGGCGGCUGUACAAACGGUUUGCGUGCGCGGCCCCUUUAAGACCAUGCACGUACCCUUUAAGCCCGUGCGCGUCAUGAAGAGACUCAGGUGAAUGUGAGGGGAGCUGUGAGGAAGCGCUACGAGCCGUUUCAAGUUCAAGUGUGUGCGUACAUCAAAGAAAACCACACAUACACAAACCCUCCUUUCUUCAGUAAAGUUUAAUCAGUAUCUGAAUGGUGCUUGACUCAAUUCUUGGACUCUCAUCGGUCCACCAGGAUAAAGUGUACCUAUCCAACAGCCCUUAAGUCAGUUUAAUUUCCAAUCCAAUAGCCAUGAUUAUAUAAAGGCUUUUUUAUUUUUCAUUACAUUCAAGUGCCUUGGAUUUAUUCAUUUUUCUUAGUUGAGAUAAAUUCCACAUUCAAAGAGCACCGAUAUACAGAUAAUACUCCCAACUGCAAUUUUUGAGGCUGUGCAUUCAUGGGUCUUCAUUGGUAGGAGUUUUGUACAAUAAUCUGUAAUCAAAAGUCUCUCUUCAGCUCUUAAAGCAGAUUGACACUUUCCCAGUCGGUGAGGAACCUAAUGGGUAAAAGAAAUCCUUUCCUGAGAUAAAUAAAACGAUGUCCAACCACAUCAGAGAGAAGUCCAAAGGUGGUGAUCUUAGAUCUGCAAAAUAUAAUUUUUAGUCCAGAAAAAUGAAAGUGAAGAUUAGAGAU